UUCGUUGCUAAGAAUGGAUCCUUUCUAGAGAAGGAGUUUCUCUCGAAAGAAGUGAGUGGGAGGAAAGUAGAACUUGAUGAGGUAACUGUACCUGCUCCCUUAUUGGAAAGUAGUUCAUCACAGAAAUCAGUUCAUGUGAUUCCUACACCAAGUAGUGAGGAAGCUAAUGAUGAUGAUCAUGUAACUUCAGAACAAGUUACUACCGAACCUCGUAGGUCAACCAUAUUAAGAUCCGCACCAGCAUGGUACGGUAAUCCUGUUCUGGAGGUCAUGUUACUUGACCAUGACGAACCUACGAACUAUGAGGAAGCGAUGAUGAGCCCAGAUUCUGCGAAAUGGCUUGAGGCCAUGAAAUCUGAGAUGGGAUCCAUGUAUGAGAACAAAGUGUGGACUUUGGUUAAC
rnacentral:rRNA from 1 species